GGGGCCUCCACGUGGGAGAUCUUGCCUGGAGGUGGUGGAAAUGCGAGUGGAGAGGGUUCAAGGCUUCCUGCAGAGAAAGGUGGCCUGCAGGAGCCAAGAAGCCUGGAGCAGCCAAAAAAAACGCAAAGAAGUAAAACAGCCAGUUCCUGCCUUAACUGAUUAACCAACAUUACAACAUUUUACCAUUGUGACUUGUCCCUGCCCUACCUUAGCCGAUCAAUCGACUUUGUGACAUUCUUCUUCUGGACAAUGAGUCUUAUGAUCUCCCCACCCUGUACCUUGUGACCCCUUCCUCUGCUAACAAUAGAUAACCACCUUCUACUGUAAUUUUCCAUUACCUAGACAACUCCUAUAAAGCAACCCCUUCCCCAUCUCCCUUCGCUGACUCUUUUUCGGACUCAGCUGACUUGCACCUAAGUGAAUAAACAGCCUUGUUGCUCACACAA